GCAUGCAGGUGAGAAGGGAAGAUACGUGUAAUCUGCAUGUCUGCCAACAUUCCUUGUUACCCUUUUUCAUAUCCCAUGAACACAGCACUCCAGCGGACCUACCCAAAAUAUGUGGGAGUUCAGUGAAACUCAAACAGCAUGCUUCUGGUCAGCCUAUACAGUCUCUGUCCUGGUGAGGAGCAUGAUCACCAACAGGCAAGAUCUUCUGGCCUCGAAGUUUCGCUUGAGCUAAAAGAGCUCAUCUCAGGACUUUCUGAAUUUUCAGCCCAUAUGACAUGGAAGAAGAGUUAGAAGGGGAAUCUGACUGCUUGGAUCAGGGACUGUCUGGCUAGUGGAACUUGAAUGUAUACAACACUCUUCAUUUUCAUGUUUUGACAUUUUAAAAAAUGUUUUCACUUUCCUUAUCUACUUUGACUCUAAUAACAUCCUGAAAGAUGCUGUUGUCCUCUUUCUGGACCUUAGAGAUGUACAGUGCACCACUUUGAGGAUCAAGUCUGACCCUGCCUUUAAAUUUGGAUUCAAAGUACUUAGAUUUUCUGGAAUCCCAUUCUACAAUCUUCUGGUCGAAAGUAUAAAACCAGCAUUGGCCAGCUUGAGAAAUAAAGGGACAGAGUACAAAAGAGAGAAAUUUUAAAGCUGAGCAUCUGGGGGAGACAUCACAUGUUGUCUGCAGGUGUACCCAACAGCUCCGAAGAGACAGUGACAUCAAGAACGGGCCAUGAUGAUGAUGGCGGUUUUGUCGAAAAGAAAAGGGGGAAAUGUGGGGAAAAGCAAGAGAGAUCAGAUUGUUACUGUGUCUGUAUAGAAAGAAGUAGACAUAGGAGACUCCAUUUUGUUCUGUACUAAGAAAAAUUCUUCUGCCUUGAGAUGCUGUUAAUCUAUGACCUUACCCCCAACCCCGUGCUCUCUGAAACAUG
rnacentral:antisense_RNA from 1 species